GACGAACGCUGGCGGCGUGCUUAACACAUGCAAGUCGAACGGUAAGGCCCUUCGGGGUACACGAGUGGCGAACGGGUGAGUAACACGUGGGUGAUCUGCCCUGCACUUCGGGAUAAGCCUGGGAAACUGGGUCUAAUACCGGAUAGGACCACUGCCUGCAUGGGGGGUGGUGGAAAGCUUUUGCGGUGUGGGAUGGGCCCGCGGCCUAUCAGCUUGUUGGUGGGGGGAUGGCCUACCAAGGCGACGACGGGUAGCCGGCCUGGGAGGGUGACCGGCCACACUGGGACUGAGAGACGGCCCAGACUCCUACGGGAGGCAGCAGUGGGGAAUAUUGCACAAUGGGCGCAAGGCUGAUGCAGCGACGCCGCGUGAGGGAUGACGGCCUUCGGGUUGUAAACCUCUUUCAGCACCGACGAAGCGCAAGUGACGGUAGGUGCAGAAGAAGGACCGGCCAACUACGUGCCAGCCGCCGCAGUAA
rnacentral:rRNA from 1 species